rnacentral:lncRNA from 1 species
GUUGCAGUAUGCACGGACUUCUGCCAACCCUGAGGAGUCGCCAAGCAGGCUUCUGCUUGGUUUGCAACGAGCUCUGUGGCCCGCUCAGCUCCCGUGUGAGCUGCUCAGCGGUGGACCCGGGGUCUCCAAAGCCAGAGACGUGUAGAGCAGUGCCGCUCCUGGAUCCUCGACUUCUCCCCACCAUGGAGGCCUCUCCGGUUCCAGCUGCAGCCUCACUGAAAAGCUUCUCUUUCGAACCCUACGGUGAGUUUGGUCUGGAGAAGAGGAAGAGGAGAGAAGCCUCCAGGAACCCUACCAGACAGCUCCUGAAGACCACACACCCUCUUUUCAGCUCUGGGGCCACUGCCCAUCAGGGAGAGGUGGGAGGUGUGGUCCUCUUCCUCACCCACAAUGGUGGUCCUUUUGAGGAAGCACCAGGAAGGGGCUUCCCCACAGGGCAGGCGGAAGCCCUUCCCAAAGUCCCGUCAACACAGCUGCCUCACACUUCCCUGCAAACUGGGGGCAGGGCCACAGCAGCUGACCCCUCGUGUGUCUUGGGACUCUGUCCUUUAACUUCUGUUGUUCAAGGAAAGAAACGGAGGUGGCUGCUGGCGGGAGGUUGAAACUAACCACAGAUCCUUUCUCCUCACAUCAAAAGGCAGAGUGCAGCUCCUUCUCCUCAGGUUGGGUUGGUUGGCGGUGACCUCCUGUGACCUUCAGGAGGAUGCGCCCAAAAGGAUGUCAUGCAGGUGUACAACUCCCAGACGGCCUCCUCCCUUCCUUCAGGACCCGGAAACCAGCUGGUCAGCCCGGUAGCCUGCCGGGAGAGAGCAGCCCCAAGCACGAGGGAGUCGUCAUCAACCAUCGGUCAAUGAGAAGUGAUCAAAAACUACAGUGAAUGUUUAAAUACAAGUAUUUCUUUCAGUGAAAGACCCAGUGCCAUUGUUUCCCCUCUGAGUACUCAGAAUAGUCCCCCGCACGAGCCCACAGACCCCAUGUGUCCUUUGCUGUCCUGAUUUUUAUUUAAACUUCCCUGUGAUCUUUGCUCGCCCAUCAUAACAGCGCCGUUACUGUGCCUCCUCUGUCUGGGUCGCUGCACUUGGUAGGUUCCACGUAGGUAUGCGUCGCCCCCAGCAGCAAGGGUCAGCACGGAAGAGAAGACUGAGAGUGAGAAGCCCUCAGGGAAGAGCUGCACGCAGAGCCCAGAGAUCGGGAGCUGGAGAGGAGAGGCCCGGAGAGGGAAAGACCAGCAGGCAGGCAGGGGCAGCCCAGGGUUCCGGGAGGGCGAGCAGAGAGCAUGCAGCCCUUCAUCCCUGGGCCUCAUCGGGGCUGGGGCCGGGGGAUAAUCUCACCCCAGCAGGAGCUUCCCUUUCUGCCAGGAGACAGAAGUAAUGCAGGUGAAACCUUCAGAGAGGAUUAAAGUGCCCCACGUGGAACAGUUCAGGCCUUCACACAGAACUGCUGGGGUCGGUUCACCGGCUCUCCCUGGCCUGGCCUGGAGGCAGCCGAGUCUCGCAUCCUCUGUGGGUGGAGAAUGGAG